GACGAACGCUGGCGGCGUGCCUAAUACAUGCAAGUCGAACGCAGUGGGGACGGGUGAGUAACACGUGGGUAACCUCCCAUCAGAGGGGAUAACACUUGGAAACACGUGCUAAACCGAUACUGAUGGAUGGACCCGCGGUGCAUUAGCUAGUUGGUGAGGUAACGGCUCACCAAGGCCACGAUGCAUAGCCGACCUGGGAGGUGGCGCGGCCACAAUGGGACUGAGACAGGGCCCAUACUCCUACGGGAGGCAGGCGUAGGGAAUCGUCGGCAAUGGACGAAAGCCUGACCGAGCAACGCUGAGUGAGUGAAGAAGGUUUUCGGAGCGUAAAUCUCUGUUGUUAGAGAAGCAGUAUCGAACCAGAAAGCCACGGCUAACUACGUGCCAGCCGCCGCGGUAAUUC
rnacentral:rRNA from 1 species